GUUGUUUGAAUGGGGAGGGACUCUUUCUGCAUCUUCAACUCACCCACAUUCGGAUGAGCACAACAACUCACCCGAU
rnacentral:tRNA from 1 species